rnacentral:rRNA from 1 species
AUUGAACGCUGGCGGCAUGCCUUACACAUGCAAGUCGAACGGUAACAGGUUAAGCUGACGAGUGGCGAACGGGUGAGUAAUACAUCGGAACGUGCCCAGUAGUGGGGGAUAGCCCGGCGAAAGCCGGAUUAAUACCGCAUACGACCUAAGGGUGAAAGGGGUGGAUCGCAAGACCUCUCGCUAUUGGAGCGGCCGAUGUCAGAUUAGCUAGUUGGUGGGGUAAAAGCUCACCAAGGCGACGAUCUGUAGCUGGUCUGAGAGGACGACCAGCCACACUGGGACUGAGACACGGCCCAGACUCCUACGGGAGGCAGCAGUGGGGAAUUUUGGACAAUGGGCGCAAGCCUGAUCCAGCCAUGCCGCGUGCGGGAAGAAGGCCUUCGGGUUGUAAACCGCUUUUGUCAGGGAAGAAAUCCUUUGGGUUAAUACCUCGGGGGGAUGACGGUACCUGAAGAAUAAGCACCGGCUAACUACGUG